GAUGAACGCUAGCUACAGGCUUAACACAUGCAAGUCGAGGGGUCUCGCGGGAGCUUGCUUCCAAGAGACGACCGGCGCACGGGUGAGUAACGCGUAUCCAACCUGCCCUUCAUAUUGGGAUAGCCUUCCGAAAGGAAGAUUAAUACCGAAUAACAUGAGAAAGUUGCCUGAUUCUCUCAUGAAAGCUCCGGCGAUGAAGGAUGGGGAUGCGUUCCAUUAGGUAGUAGGCGGGGUAACGGCCCACCUAGCCUACGAUGGAUAGGGGUUCUGAGAGGAAGGUCCCCCACACUGGAACUGAGACACGGUCCAGACUCCUACGGGAGGCAGCAGUGAGGAAUAUUGGUCAAUGGGCGCAAGCCUGAACCAGCCAAGUAGCGUGAAGGAUGACUGCCCUAUGGGUUGUAAACUUCUUUUAUACGGGAACAAACCUUGGUACGCGUACCAAAUUGCGUGUACCGUAUGAAUAAGCAUCGGCUAACUCCGUGCCAGCCGCCGCCGUAAAAC
rnacentral:rRNA from 1 species